GACGAACGCUGGCGGCGUGCUUAACACAUGCAAGUCGAACGGAAAGGCCCUGCUUUUGUGGGGUGCUUGAGUGGCGAACGGGUGAGUAACACGUGAGUAACCUGCCCUCGACUUUGGGAUAACUUCAGGAAACUGGGGCUAAUACCGGAUAUGAGCUCCUGCUCCAUUGUGGGGGUUGGAAAGUUUCGGUGGUUGGGGAUGGGCUGCUGGCUUAUGAGCUUGUUGGUGGGGUAGUGGUUUACCAAGGCUUUGACGGGUAGUCGGCCUGGGAGGGUGACCAGCCACAUUGGGACUGGGAUACGGCCCAGACUCCUACGGGAGGCAGCAGUGGGGAAUAUUGCACAAUGGGCGGGAGCCUGAUGCAGCGACGCCGCGUGCGGGAUGACGGCCUUCGGGUUGUAAACCGCUUUCGCCUGUGACGAAGCGUGAGUGACGGUAAUGGGUAAAGAAGCACCGGCUAACUACGUG
rnacentral:rRNA from 1 species